UACGGAGGGUGCAAGCGUUAUCCGGAUUCACUGGGGUUAAAGGGUGCGUAGGUGGGAAUGUAAGUCAGUGGUGAAAUCUCCGUGCUUAACAUGGAAACUGCCAUUGAUACUAUGUUUCUUGAAUUUUCUGGAGGUAAGCGGAAUAUGUCAUGUAGCGGUGAAAUGCUUAGAUAUGACAUAGAACACCAAUUGCGAAGGCAGCUCACUACGCGAAUAUUGACACUGAGGCACGAAAGCGUGGGGAUCAAACAGG
rnacentral:rRNA from 1 species